rnacentral:rRNA from 1 species
UACGUAGGGUCCGAGCGUUGUCCGGAAUCAUUGGGCGUAAAGAGCGUGUAGGCGGCCAGAUAAGUCCGCUGUGAAAUCUCGAGGCUCAACUUCGAGCUGUCGGUGGAAACUGUCUGGCUAGAGUCCGGAAGAGGAGAAUGGAAUUCCUGGUGUAGCGGUGAAAUGCGCAGAUAUCAGGAAGAACACCCGUGGCGAAGGCGGUUCUCUGGGACGGUACUGACGCUGGGACGCGAAAGCGUGGGGAGCGAACAGG